GGGGCAAUGGAGUCAAUUAGUAGCUUGACUCGUUGGCAGCCAUCCGUGGAUUCAAAUUCUGUUUGCUCCACCA
rnacentral:tRNA from 2 species